UACGGAGGGUGCAAGCGUUGUCCGGAUUUAUUGGGUUUAAAGGGUGCGUAGGUGGCUCAUUAAGUCAGUGUUGAAAGUCAACAGCUCAACUGUUGGAAUGGCAUUGAUACUGAUGAGCUUGAGUAAAGUUGAGGUAGACAGAAUUGAUGGUGUAGCGGUGAAAUGCAUAGAUAUCAUCAAGAAUACCGAUUGCGAAGGCAGUUUACUAAGCUCUAACUGACACUGAGGCACGAAAGUGUGGGGAUCAAACAGG
rnacentral:rRNA from 1 species